UUCACCCAUGCUUCUUACUUUGGGGCACCUUGAACAAGGCAUCUUUGCUCCUUCUGACCUGAUGAGUCUUGAAAACAUCAGUGAAGUCUGAUAACUUUUUGUUGGCUAUUGUAGCACUAUAAUUAACAGUAUCACAGCAACCUAGUUGCCAUGGAAAGAGUGGAUGACUCAGUCUGGAGUGGAACAUAAUGCCAUCUGUAAACACAAGACGGUGACAAGACUUGAAAGAAUUGUAUUUGUCUGUCUUUCUCGCCUUCUGCCGUGGAUGUGAGGUCUACACUUCUGGAGAUGCUUUCAUUUACAUAAGAGAAGAUUGACUUAUAGACUUCCUAUCGUGAGGAGAGCUGCUGGGAAAAUGAUGGUGGCAAAUGAUGGUCUCAAGGAGAGAGCUAAGCUAUGUGAGCCCGGAAGCACUUGAGGCUUCAAAAUGCUUUUCCUCUGGAGUUCGGAAGCCGAGGUUCAUUCAAGCAGCUGCCUCUGAUCUGGUCUCUGCAAGUCUAGGUAGACUCAGGCAGAUAGCAAUUCAUUGUCAGUGUGGAGGGGUAGGAAGCUCUAAAGAAUUCACAUUCAUUUGGCAGCAAGAAUGCCUGUCUACUAUGCUCACAACCCUGGUCCAGAGCUACUGGCCUCCAAAGCUCCAUUGA
rnacentral:lncRNA from 1 species